UUAAAAUUUCCGCCGCCCCUCCCUUUUCGCGUCGGAGCCGCCUGCCCGGUGAGAGGAGUGCUGCCGCCGAGCGUCGCUCAGCGUCGUUGUACUCCCGCUGUCGCCUUCGAUCCGUCAGCGUCGCCGUCGCGGUGGGGGUCCAGCCGCCGGCUUACUUAGUCGCUGCACAGUGCCGUCGUGGCUGUUCCGUCGCUGCUGCUGUUCGCCAACGGGAGCUGCUGCCGGAGUCAACGGACAGCGCAGCUGCUGUCGCGCCAUCGUCCCUCCCUGUCGAGCCGCUGCCGUCGCUUCCUCCUCCCCAAAACCACUCCGAACCCGCUCGGAAACACUCCGAAAAGACCCGCAAGAAUUAAUUGUGAGAAGAUGGAAAGUGAAGAGAGUUGGAGGUGAAGAGCCCCCAUGGUGAAAGACCGUAGACUACUUGGAGAAGAAGAAGGAAGGAAGACUUUUUUUUUUCUUUUGGGCUUACUCUCAUAUCUUUGGAAAUUGUAUUGGGCUCAACAUAUAUCAUUUAAAUUAGUUUGGGUUCAUUUAGUUGAAAGCCCAAGUUGAUAAUUAUUUAA